GACGAACGCUGGCGGCGUGCCUAAUACAUGCAAGUAGGACGCAGUUGCGAACGGGUGAGUAACGCGUAGGUAACUACCUAUUAGAGGGGGAUAACUAUUGGAAACGAUAGCUAAUACCGCAUACUAGUAGAUGGACCUGCGUUGUAUUAGCUAGUAGGUAGGGUAAUGGCCUACCUAGGCAACGAUACACAGCCGACCUGGGAAGGAGGACGGACACACUGGGACUGGGACACGGUCCAGACUGCUAAGGGAGGCAGCAGUAGGGAAAUAUCGGAAAUGGGGGGAACCCUGACCGAGCAACGGCGCGGGAGUGAAGGAGGUUCUCGGAUCGGAAAGCUCUGUUGUUAAGGGAGCGGUACUUAACCAGAAAGGGACGGCUAACUACGUGCCAGCAGCCGCGGUAAUAC
rnacentral:rRNA from 1 species